CAAAUAAGAAUUGUCAGUGUCAAACCAGUCUUGAAUCAUGAAAAGUGCGAACGUUUGUUUGAGCACGUCCUACGGUUUCGUCUUCGGUGAAUUUAACUCUACUUUCACCACUGUGUGAAUACUCAUUAGUAUCAUUCUUAAAUGUGCUGUGAUAGAACACGGUCGUCUACUUAAAUUUACUUAUUAGAAAUACUCAUGCCAUGGCGAAAGUCGCUACCGAAAUGGCAUACAAAAAUUAUUGUGUAGUGUUUAUAAUUUUCGCUCUAGUGAUAGUUCAAGCGGUGGGUUACGACACCGAGUUGUAUGAAACAAAGCCUUGCGACAGCAAUGCAUGCUUUGACGAGCUCCACGGGUCUUUAGGCGACUGUUCGUGUAAUGUUGACACCAUCGAUUACUUCAAUAACGUGAAGGUCUACCCGCGCCUUCAGAGUCUAGUGAGAAAAGACUACUUUCGCUUCUACAAAGUGAAUUUGAAAAAAGAAUGUCCAUUCUGGGCCGAUGACAGUAAGUGUGCUAUGAGGUACUGUCAUAUUAAAACCUGUUCCAAGGAGAGUGUGCCUGGAUACGAGAAUGGCUACGAGAACGAUCACUUAGAUGAAACGCCAGUGACUAAGUACACGAAGGAGGCGCAGGGUAACUGUGCUACUGAUGCAGAUCAUGACCAUGACCUAGGCUACUUGAAUAUGACCAUCAGUGCUGCUAGUCAACAUGAAAUCGCCAAAUGGAAGGCCCAUGACGAUGCUCUGGAGAACUUCUGUGGCUAUGACGAUAAGGAUGUUGAUGCAGAGUAUGUGGACUUGUUGUUGAACCCUGAGAGAUUCACUGGCUACAAGGGACCCUCAGCUAAUAGAAUCUGGAAGAGCAUAUAUCAGGAAAAUUGUUUCCGGCCAAAGCCUAACCCAUACAGUUCAUUCCCAUUUGUCAUGACAUCAGAUUUAGGGAACAUGUGCUUAGAGAAGAGAGUUUUCUAUAGAGCUGUGUCUGGUCUACACACCAGUAUAAAUGUUCACCUCUGUUCUAAAUACUUGCUCUUUGAAAAGGGAGCUGGUUUCACUACUGAUGGAGAAUGGGGACCAAAUCUUGAAGAGUUCCAACGCCGUUUUGAUCCCUCACAGACCUUUGGAGAAGGUCCCAAUUGGCUGAAGAAUUUGUAUUUUGUUUAUUUGUUGGAGAUGAGAGCUUUAGCCAAAGCUGGGCCAUAUUUAGAGAAGGAAGAAUAUUACACUGGCAACCCUACUGAGGAUGAGGAGACAAGACAGGCAAUUCAUAACUUACUGAGUGUAAUUUACUCCUUCCCCGACCACUUUAAUGAGUCUUCAAUGUUUAACGGAGGAAGUCAAGCAGCUAAAUUGAAGGUUGAGUUCAGAGAGCAUUUCCGUAACAUCUCAAGAAUAAUGGAUUGCGUUGGGUGCGACAAGUGCAAGUUGUGGGGCAAGCUGCAGACACAGGGUCUUGGUACUGCAUUGAAGAUAUUGUUCUCUAGUAAGUGGAACAGUCCUGAACCUGAUCCAAACCAGGGCAAACUGCCUGUCAGACAUAAGUCCCAUGAGAGACUGCAGAGGACGGAGGUUGUUGCACUGUUUAAUGCAUUUUCCAGACUCUCCGAGAGUAUACGGCAAUUGGAGCAGUUCCGAAUAAUGCUAAGCUCGCAAAGAGAAGGAGAAAAAAAACAACCGUUAUUUGGGAGCAUCCGGGAUAUGAAGUGAGAAGAAUAGACGUAUAGUUCUAGAAUAAUUUUAUUGGCGUUAUCGGGACUUAGAAUAAUUCAAUGUUCCUUCAGGUCACUCUGUUUUGCGUUAGGGACUUAAUUUAUUGUGGGUAAAAGGACAGGAGGAUAGCCCUACUUGAUUUAAAAGUACGGGAUUUUUAAGUAUAGUAUUUAUUUAGAAUAGUCUAUCCUGACUUUAAACGGAGUGUAGACUGCUUUAUAUUUUUGUUUUUACUUUUUCUAAAGAACUUUCUUACAGCUCCCCUUGUAUCAGAAGUAAGACAAAUUCAGAGGCAGACUUCCUAAUACUCUUUUAAACUGAAAUUAUUAAACUAUUGUUAUACUCAUUGUUAUUGAAAUUGUAAGCAUUCGACUAUUUUUCAUCAUUUUUUGUUAUAACCUCUAUUUUAUCCUUAUUGUUAAAUGUUAGUAACUUCCUUAUAACGUCAACUUAUUUUAAAUUCAUCACAAGACUUAAAUAUUUAUUGAAAAACCCAGUGAAGUGUUGAGCUUAAUAAUUUUUAUGUAGGGCAAAGCUGAGCGUCGUUGGGUAUCGAUUUCAAAUCCCAGUCGUGUUGAUAAUUACGGAGUAAUUGUGGAAAGCUAUUAUUAUUAAUGUCAGUCUACGUUCAUGUUAGUUAUUAAUUGUAAUGGAUAUGACUGACACGCCACUUUUAUUGUUAUAAGGCAGACAGUACUUACCCCCUAAAAUACCUAACCUAAUUAAUCUUAAAUUGAGCAAAACGAUCAGCCAUAGGAGGUCCACUGCUGAACAUAGGCCCCUAUGGCUGAUAUGAUGAUAAUGAUGAUAACGAUCAAUUUCUGAUUUAGUGCCUGAACAAUAAACACAAUGCUACAAUUUUUUACAUUCUGACGUUUGAAAUAACGAAUGAACAACACAAGAACAAUAUAGGUCUUCCAAAAUUAAAAUUCUAAAUUUCUUUUGUUUUUUUUUAUUUUUGCUUUGACCUUGAGACGUUCAGCCUUGCCCUUUAUUUUGUGUCGUGUUUAGACUAAGGUUAAUUGAUAAGUAAUUAGUUAAAACAGAAAAACAAGGCAUUUGAACACUAAUGAAUUGACGUUUCCGUUCUUGUGCCUAUAUUACAAUAUUUGGAUGACUAGAUUUAAUUAUCUGUAAUAAAAUCGUGUUAAGAAAAAGUUGAAGUGAAAAAAAUCUGUGUAAUUAAAAAAAUAUGUAUUCGAUAUUCGAUUGUCGAUACUUUUGCCAAAUUGUAUUACACCAGUUUCGAUGGAUUCAUAUAUCCCACAUAAUUGGAAUUGAAUUUGUCUAUAUUGUAAAUUUUUUAUGUAAAUAAUGAAGAAUUUCUAAAAAGUUACACGUGUCUACGUUUAAUUGAAAUUGGCUUAAAAGAUCCAUAAUAUUUAUUUUCUCUAGUCAUAUUUGAGCAAUAACAGCGUGCAAUAGCCUAUGCCCUCCAUUUUAGCCAUUUUAACGUUUAUUUUAACUUCAAACGACUAAAACGAAAACUACAGUUUUAUUGGUUUCUAUAAAUUUUAUAGCCUAGAUGCUAAAAUUUUUACUUACUGCUAUUUUCGUUAUCAUUUCUUAUAUUUACUUAGUGAUCUAUACAGCAAUACACAUAAUGAAAGUCUUGUAUUAUCUGUGCAGUUUGGGCUCUUGGAAAGGCGGCAAAAUUGUAACCAAACUAUAGGCGAGUUUGUCUUGCGUUAGAUACAGAUAAAAUAAAAUCUUAAAACAGAAUUAGAUGAUAGGUUUUUUUUUGAGAGGCAUAAAGAAAUUGAAGUUUGAAAUGUAUUUAUUUAAAACAGUCUGUAUUCUAACAUUGUUUGGACACAUUUAAUUCAAGGUUGAUAACAUUGAUACAAUCUCAAUUGUAAUUGGCCGUUGUCCAAAAAACUAAAUUAACCAAAAGUCAUUGUAGUUUUGUAUCGGUAAAAUAGAACAAGCGAUCUACAUGCAAAAUUGUAUACUAUAGAUUUAUAGAUAGCAAGUUUUCUUUGUUUUUUGCAAUGAAUUUUGCUGUGUGUAAAUGUUAAAUAUCUUGAGAGUCACCUAUUACAAACAUAACAUGUUUAAUUGUCUUGUGUGCAAUGUCUUUGUUCUUUAAAACAGUUUAAAAUAAUGUAGAAUACCUACAAGUCAAUUUAGUCACAAACGAUGAUGAUACACUGAUAAGUAUUACUAGCUGUAAUAAAUAAAUAUUUAACAUGUUAUGGCAACACUUCAAUAAUUUAGCUCCUUUCGCAGUUAUUUGUGAUCGCUCCUUUACACACAUAAAUUAAUUAAUUUGUGUAAUAAAAUGAUGUAACUAUUUAUUGUCUUUUUUGUUUCUAUUAAUGUGUGCUCAAUUCUAUAAUGUAUUAAUUUGUCCGUGACGUACAAGAGCUGUAAAGAAUUGGCCAUUUUAUUUUUUGAUUUUGUUUAUUAAUAUUUGUAAUGUAAUUAUAAUUUUGUAAUAGGCAUCUAUAAUUUUUAUAUAUAAUAUAUUGUUUUUGUUCAUUGUAUUGCUAUGAAUUGUUUGUUAAAUUUCCGUUUCAAUGAUUGUAAAACUAUGAUGAGAAUUAUUUAUUUUCACUCAUUUCCAGCUUUUACUCACUAUACGAAGCAGUUGUACCGAAAUAUUUAAUUUACAAUCAAUUUCGCUAAAACUAUCCAGUGAAAUUGGCUUCGUAAACGACUUUUGAGCCAUUUGCAUUCCAUGUACUGAUUGUUACGAUUAAUUAAUCCUUAUCGGUACAAUAAAAUCGACGCUCCGUUCGAGUUACGAUCGUAACGUUUUAUUGAUUGCUUUAUGCAAAAACAAAUAUAAAAUAGCGUAAUGUAUUAGUAUAAACGUCUGUGAUUUUUUAGAUUCAAAUAUCAUGACAAUUUCAUUUUUAUUUAAUUUAAUUUUGAAUUAAAUGUAUUAUCUUUU